AUACGGAGGGUGCAAGCGUUGUUCGGAAUUAUUGGGCGUAAAGAGCAUGUAGGCGGACUGUUAAGUCUGGUGUGAAAGCCCGGGGCUCAACCCCGGAAGUGCAUUGGAUACUGGCAGUCUUGAGUAUGGGAGAGGAAAGUGGAAUUCCGAGUGUAGGAGUGAAAUCCGUAGAUAUUCGGAGGAACACAGUGGCGAAGGCGGCUUUCUGGACCAAUACUGACGCUGAGAUGCGAAAGCGUGGGGAGCAAACAGGAUUAGAAACCCUAGUAGUCC
rnacentral:rRNA from 1 species